UACUAAUGCAACUGCGAAUAGCUGUUUAAUACAGUCGCAAUUGUAUUGACUUUGUAAAAUGUUAUUUUAUUUUUAUAGGAUAACUAAGGGAAAGUUUGGCUAAUACGUUUAAUUUUACACAUGUAAAUAUGCAUAUAAUAAUAUUGCAACAUGAUAGAUAUUAUAUAAAUAUAAAUAUAAAUAUUUUAUUUAUAUUAAUAUAGAGCAGACUUUAUAAUAUUUAUUUAUUAUAAAGCAUGUCAAACAAGCAUCUAUAGCAUCAAGUCACAAUGUUGGCAUGUGUAUUAUUGAACCUUCAAAGCAUUUACGCAUUCGGAGGAGUAGUUUCUGAUCCCGUCGAAGGUGCCUGAGAGACGGCACUUAGUUCUAAGGAACGCAGCAGGCGCGUAAAUUGCCCAAUGACAAAACAUAUAAUUGAGGCAGUGACAAGCUGUAAAGAUUGAAUAUAUUAAUUAAGAUAACAUUUGGAAUUGUCGCUUUGUAAUAUUUUAAUAUUAUAUUGCUUGAUAAUAUACCAAUGUUAUAAAAUAUUCAAUUUGAAUGCGGUGAAUAUAAUAAUUUCAAGUAACAUGUAUAAAAUAUUUAUUAUUUUAUAUGUUAUCUGAAUAUUCAAGUGGAGGGCAAGUCUGGUGCCAGCAGCCGCGGUAAUACCAGCUCCACUAGCUUAUACAAUCAUUGUUGCGGUUAAGAGGCUCGUAGUUGGAUUGAAUUAUAUUUUACAUUACUUUUGUAAUGUUAAUACUGUGAACAAACCAGAGUGUAUAAAACAUGUAAUAUUAUAUAUAUUAUGCAAUGAAUGUUUUAUCAUGGAAUAUUGUUUAUUUCGAUGGAGAUAGUUGGAGUUAAGAGUACUUAUAGGCGAGCGGUGAAAUGCAUUGACCCUAUUAAGACUAACAAAAGCGAAAGCACUUAACUAGAUUAUACUCUUUGUAUAUUAUUACAAUGAAGAGCGAAGGUUGGGGGAACAAAGAGGAUCAGAUACCCUCGUAGUCCUAUUUUUUACAUCAAACUAUGGGAUUUCAAUUGAAUAAUAUAUUAUUCUUAAUACCCCUAACAUAUUUAAUAUUUAUUGAUUGAGAUAAUUAAUAUAUUUAUCUCUCAUAAAAUAUAAAAUAAUAUAGUGGUACAAUAUUUAUUAUAUGUACUUUGAGCUCAUAUAAUUAAUAUAGGUGAGAUGUAAGCAUUAUAGGUGAACAAUAUAUUUAUAUUAUAAAUAUUAUUGGAAUCCUUAUAAAUAAAUGUAAUGUGAUGCACGUUUUAGGUACGAGCUUACUAUAGAAAUAUUUAAAAUAAUACCCUCCUGGGGUAGUAUGCACGCAAGUGUGAAACUUGAAGGAAUUGACGGAAGGGCACCACAAGAACGCGUGGAGCAUGUGGCUUAAUUUGACUCAACCCGGGAAAUCUUACCAGGUCCAGACAUAUUGAGGAUUGACAGGCGAUAAUCAACAAACAUAUCAUAUGUAUGUUGGUAUAAAAAUGAUAGUCCUUUCAUGAUUAUAUGAUAGGUGGUGCAUGGCCGUUCUUAGUUCGUGGAGUGAUUUGUCUGCUUAAUUGCGUUUCAGUAAAUAAAAUAUAUAUAAUGUAUUAAUAUUUUAGUUCUGCCAUUUUUAAUGGAUUUAAAGUGAACAAUAUUAUACAUAUAUAUUAAUAUAUGAAUGC
rnacentral:rRNA from 1 species